GUGUGUGUGUGUGUGUGGUUGGUUGUGUGUGUAACAUAAAUCCUAAGGUUGGGGGGUCCCAGAACUCUUAUCUGUAGAGAACCGUUUGAAACCAAGGUGUGCACUAUCAUGCAUAAGGCAUGUCGAGAUAUCAGCCGAACAGCGGGGGUUAAACAUAGAUAUCUCUAAUCUGCGGCCCCCACACACCCCGUUUGCAGACAGAAUGUCACGACAUCCCCUCCUGUUGUUUGAAUUCACAGCCUGUGUUCUCUAAACCAGACAUACAUGGGUUGGGGUGUAGCAUACAUCUCUCAAAAAAACUCAUUCCGAACUUUUAGAUAGUUAGGGACAGAACUAUUUUUUAACGUUGUCAGCAUUGCUUUAGCGCAAACAUAAAGGCCCGAAUAUUGAGCUGCACGGACAGAUUAAAAUAAUAAUAAUAUUCGGAAUAAGGGAAUCUCACAUAAUGGAUAUUUCUGGAGGUGAGUAAAUGAAAAAAACAUAUUUUAAGAUUUGUUUGAAUAUUAUUGGAAUAUUAAACCCUAGUUAUUUGGGUAUUUCAGGCCAAAAGCCCAAUAUAGGUAAAAAAAAAAAAAAAAAAGUGUAGAUAUAGCGUAUAACUGUUAACAUUGUCUAAUGGAAUCUAGGAUCCCCGACAUUUACGCAGCUUUUACGCGAUUUACCUGAUCUGGAACAUGAUGGGGGUUCGCAGGAGCAAAAGUCUGGCAGACAAUCACCAACGGCCUUUUUUCGUUCCGACAUACAGCCCUUUAUGAUAAAGGAUGCGUUAUGGCCAGCUGACACGCAGGACUUUGAUGCAAUUCUACCGUUCUGUACGAGCGCUUUUUCAAACUCACCGCGAAUCCAGGGAACAUCGACCCCCUCCCGACAUAUUCCAGACCCCAACAGGCAACGAUCAACUGUGGCCCAAGUACACUGCUCAGAAUCAAGCCCACCCGAAAACUACUGUUGGGCCGGGAACUUGCUGCUUCACGAGCCGGCGCUCCAGGGACAAGACUGCCCGGAGACAGACCCAGCAGAAUCUGGAACGCUAGAGGGAAAAAGUCACACACCCCCGGUUUCGGCGAUUCGUCACAACAAGCGCCAA